rnacentral:rRNA from 1 species
UACAGGGGGUGCAAACGUUGCUCGGAAUUAUUGGGCGUAAAGCGCACGUAGGCGGUUUGUUAUGUCGGAUGUGAAAACCCGGGGCUCAACUCCGGGCCUGCAGCCGAUACGGGCAGACUAGAGUUCGGCAGGGGAGACUGGAAUUCCUGGUGUAGCGGUGAAAUGCGCAGAUAUCAGGAGGAACACCGGUGGCGAAGGCGGGUCUCUGGGCCGAUACUGACGCUGAGGAGCGAAAGCGUGGGGAGCGAACAGG